AGUACCACGGGACACGUGAAACCCUGUGGGAAGCAGGAGGGACCACCCUCCAAGGCUAAAUACUACCUAGUGACCGAUAGCGUAUAGUACCGUGAGGGAAAGGUGAAAAGAACCCCGGGAGGGGAGUGAAAGAGAACCUGAAACCCUGCACUUACAAGCUGUGGAAGCACAUUUCUGGUGUGACCGCGGACUUUUUGUAGAACGGGCCAACGAGAUACGUUAAGUAGCAAGGUUAAGCACUUAAGGUG
rnacentral:rRNA from 1 species